rnacentral:pre_miRNA from 1 species
AAGUAAAUUCUCUCCAACUUUGACCAAGUUUAUAGAAAAUACACCAACAUGGCAACAUCUACAAAAUGAAAUGAAUUUCGUAAAAUCUAUUUUGAAUAUUCUUGAUAGUGCAAUUAUUUGGUAUUGCUGAUGUUAGUAUAUUUUUCUACAAACUUGGUUAAAGUUAGAGAAGUUUGACUUAU